CCGACCAGGGAUCAGCGGAUG
rnacentral:siRNA from 1 species